UUGUCCUGGAAUGGUAUUACGUCUAAAGGUAUCCCAUACAUGUUUGGUAUACGCCUAAGGAUGGGGCUGCGGCCGAUCAGGCUGUUGGUGAGGUAAUGGCUCACCAAACCUUUGACCGGUACGGGCCAUGAGAGUGGUAGCCCGGAGAUGGACACUGAGACAAGGGUCCAGGCCCUACGGGGCGCAGCAGGCGCGAAACCUCCUCAAUGCACUUACGUGCGAAGGGGCUACCUCGAGUGCCACCUGAUGAAGGUGGCUUUUCCUAGGUCUAAAAAGCCUUGGGAAUAAGAGGGGGGCAAGACUGGUGUCAGCCGCCGCGGUAACACCAGCCCCUCGAGUGGUGGGGAUGAUUAUUGGGCCUAAAGCGUCCGUAGCCUGCCGUAUAAGUUUCCCGUUAAAUCCAGCGUCUCAAGCGUUGGACCGCGGGAAAUACUGUACGGCUAGAGAGUGGGAGAGGUCAGCGGUAUUCUGGGGGUAGGGGCGAAAUCCAUUGAUCCCCGGAGGACCACCAGUGGCGAAGGCUGCUGUCUAGAACACGUCUGACGGUCAGGGACGAAAGCUGGGGUAGCGAACCGGAUUAGAUACCCGGGUAGUCCCAGCCGUAAACGAUGCAUGCUAGGUGUUGGGUUGGCCACGAGCCACCCCAGUGCCGCAGGGAAGCCGUUAAGCAUGCCGCCUGGGAAGUACGAUCGCAAGGUUGAAACUUAAAGGAAUUGGCGGGGGAG
rnacentral:rRNA from 1 species